rnacentral:lncRNA from 1 species
CUGCUUUUGCCUGUUUUAAGUUUUAUCUUCUCUAAAAAAGUCACUAUUUUUGAAAACUGGGAACCUAUGCUAUUGGUUGACAACAUGAGACAGUCUGGUCAGCAAUAUUGACUUGAGCCCUCCUUUCAGGUGAUCCUUUCUUGACCUAGAGCCAUUGGACAGCCACAGGUGGCACCCGAGCAGGGACCUGAAAACAGAGGACUUGCUGAGAAACACUGCUUUGGUUGGAGCCUCCACAGAACAAAGUGAAAGCAAAAAGAAAGUCCGAGUACUGGUAAGCAAUCAAAUGAAAAGAAAAUGCUGCACGGUGGCUGUAGGAGCGAUUGGUCUAUCAGUUGGAAAAGGCCCUUGUUGAAGAUGCUGAUCCUGGUGCAGCUUCUCAUGAUGAAUGUUGAAGAAUUAUGGGCCCAUGCUCCUUUUCCUCCAUUAUUACCUGUUGGCCAGGAUGCUUUUGUUUUACCUACCAUUUAUUCUGGAAACCACUCCUUGGGCUUACCAGCCUUACCCCACCUUCUGGUGGAUCAUUCUAUCAAUAUCUCAGGAUGGUGGAA